rnacentral:rRNA from 1 species
AACGAACGCUGGCGGCAUGCCUAACACAUGCAAGUCGAACGGGAUCCUAGCUUGCUAGGUGAGAGUGGCGGACGGGUGAGUAACACGCGGGAAUCUGCCUUUUGGUUCGGGAUAACCGCGGGAAACUGCGGCUAAUACCGAAUGCCCUCGAGAGAGGAAAGAUUUAUCGCCAGAAGAGGAGCCCGCGUCCGAUUAGGUAGUUGGUGGGGUAAAAGGCCUACCAAGCCGACGAUCGGUAGCUGGUCUGAGAGGAUGAUCAGCCACACUGGGACUGAGAUACGGCCCAGACUCCUACGGGAGGCAGCAGUGGGGAAUAUUGGACAAUGGGGGCAACCCUGAUCCAGCAAUGCCGCGUGAGUGAUGAAGGUCUUAGGGUUGUAAAGCUCUUUUGCCAGGGAAGAUGAUGACUGUACCUGGAGAAUAAGCCCCGGCUAACUUCGUGCCAGCAGCCGCGGUAAU